AUAUGAGAAUUAUAAGUUGAAUGGAAUGAAUAUGGUAUUUAAGGGAAAUAGUAUAGUUAAGGGAGUAUUAAAGAAGUGUGCUAAGCUUGAAAAACAAGAAGUUGCAUUGUCCAAGAUCUUUUGCUCCAUAAUGCUACUAGAAUUUCUUUAGACAGAGUGUUGAAGAGAUACUCCCGUUGAAUAUAAGUUUCCGGUGUAUUUCAGUUUAGCAGUCA
rnacentral:lncRNA from 1 species